rnacentral:other from 1 species
UACAUCCUGCGAUGUGCGUUACGGCUCAUACGUGUUUUGAACCAAUGGCUGUUUCACGGGAGACCAACAUCGGAACGCGGCUGACACGCCCUAACUCAGGGAUCUCAAAACCGUUUCUGCGGACACCCACCUGCGAGAGCGGGUUCAGAAACAAGGCAGUCGGACGGCAUGGCGGGUUUUUA